rnacentral:rRNA from 1 species
AAAUGAAUUGACGGGGACCCGCACAAGCGGUGGAGCAUGUGGUUUAAUUCGACGCAACGCGAAGAACCUUACCUGGACUAGAAUGUGAGGGAAGUUCGUCUAACAGCGAGCGUCCGGGAAACCGGACCCAAAACAAGGUGCUGCAUGGCUGUCGUCAGCUCGUGUCGUGAGAUGUUGGGUUAAGUCCCGCAACGAGCGCAACCCUUAUCAACAGUUGCCAUCAUUAAGUUGGGAACUCUGUUGAGACUGCCGUUGAUAAAACGGAGGAAGGUGGGGAUGAUGUCAAGUCAUCAUGGCCUUUAUGUUCAGGGCUACACACGUGCUACAAUGGCCGGUACAAAACGUCGCAAUCCCGCGAGGGGGAGCUAAUCGCAAAAACCGGUCUCAGUUCGGAUUGGAGUCUGCAACUCGACUCCAUGAAGUUGGAAUCGCUAGUAAUCGCAAAUCAGCAUGUUGCGGUGAAUACGUUCCCGGGUCUUGUACACACCGCCCGU